GAUGAACGCUGGCGGCGUGCCUAAUACAUGCAAGUCGAGCGAACAGACGAGGAGCUUGCUCCUCUGACGUUAGCGGCGGACGGGUGAGUAACACGUGGAUAACCUACCUAUAAGACUGGGAUAACUUCGGGAAACCGGAGCUAAUACCGGAUAACAUGUUGAACCGCAUGGUUCAACAGUGAAAGACGGUCUUGCUGUCACUUAUAGAUGGAUCCGCGCCGCAUUAGCUAGUUGGUAAGGUAACGGCUUACCAAGGCAACGAUGCGUAGCCGACCUGAGAGGGUGAUCGGCCCCACUGGAACUGAGACACGGUCCAGACUCCUACGGGAGGCAGCAGUAGGGAAUCUUCCGCAAUGGGCGAAAGCCUGACGGAGCAACGCCGCGUGAGUGAAGAAGGUCUUCGGAUCGUAAAACUCUGUUAUUAGGGAAGAACAAAUGUGUAAGUAACUAUGCACGUCUUGACGGUACCUAAUCAGAAAGCCACGGCUAACUACGUG
rnacentral:rRNA from 1 species